UACGUAGGGACCAAGCGUUGUCCGGAAUCAUUGGGCGUAAAGAGCGUGUAGGCGGCUUGUUAAGUCUUGCGUGAAAUCUCGGGGCUCAACCCCGAGCGGUCGUGAGAAACUGGCAGGCUAGAGUGCGGGAGAGGAGAGUGGAAUUCCUGGUGUAGCGGUGAAAUGCGCAGAUAUCAGGAGGAACACCGGUGGCGAAGGCGGAUCUCUGGGCCAUUACUGACGCUGAGGAGCGAAAGCGUGGGGAUCGAACAGG
rnacentral:rRNA from 1 species